AGUAAUGCGUGACCAACCUGCCCCAUGCUCCAGAAUAGCUCUUGGAAACGGGUGGUAAUGCUGGAUGCUCCAACUUGACGCAUGUCUUGUUGGGAAAGUGUUUAGUGGCAUGGGAUGGGGUCGCGUCCUAUCAGCUUGUAGGCGGGGUAAUGGCCCACCUAGGCUUCGACGGGUAGCCGGCCUGAGAGGGCGGACGGCCACAUUGGGACUGAGAUACGGCCCAGAUUCCUACGGGAGGCAGCAGCA
rnacentral:rRNA from 1 species